rnacentral:misc_RNA from 1 species
GAAAGGGGAGCAAUCCCUGAGUACAGUGGCGUACGGGUGAGUAACACGUGGAUGAUCUACCUUCUAGUGGGGAAUAACCCUGGGAAACCGGGGCUAAUACCGCAUAAGCUCGAGAGAGGAAAGCAGCAAUGCGCUGGAAGAGGAGUCCGCGGCCGAUUAGCUAGUUGGCAGGGUAAGAGCCUACCAAGGCAGAGAUCGGUAGCCGGCCUGAGAGGGCACACGGCCACACUGGC